ensembl:lncRNA
GCAAGAUCUGAUCAUGCAGACAGCUCCAGUGAGAGGACCUGCUGAGCAGGAGAACCGUAUGACAGAACUGGAAGACCCUCAGGACACAGAGUGGAGCUCCAGGACGGAUCUGCACUUUCCUGAAAGUGAGAGGGGCCGAGACUCCCCGACCUCCGCUGAUCGUCAGUCCAUGGACACACCGAUCACUGUAGAAGACAAUCUCUCCUCUGCUCCUUACAGGUUGGGGGAUGAAGAUGAAACAUCCAGUGCAUCUGAAACAGACUACCAAUCCAGGACGAAGACACAGAAACACAAAGUGAAGAAGAAGAGCAGGAGUUCCUGGUUUCAGAGGAUCUAUCUGUCUGGACUGGGAGGAUCUGUCCUGUGGCCAUUCACUCUGUGCUUAAACCCCUCACACCUUCACACAGGUGAAGCUAAUGCUGAGACAGAUUACAACAGGAUAAAACAACCUGGAUAGAUUGAGAAUCAUCACAUGUUUUGAACUGAGAGAGAAAAAGAGAAAGAGCGAAAGAGCAGUGAAAGACAGAGGGGGCUUCCAGAAACCCUAAACUUCAUCGUAGGAACCUUUCUCCUCUCCUCUGUAACAUGAAAACUGUUUUUGUGAUGCCAUCUGGCUGCCUGUCUAAAUAUUGAAGGAGCAGCUUAAGAUGUGUCUACCAGCAGAUGAUAUGCAAGGGUACGCUACACAAGAUUCUGAAGUGAUAUCACUGGUGGUACUAUAACCAGUGAGUACCUGUUAAUGCAGAUUACUGAGAUUUAAUUGGUUCAGGUCUGUGAGGAAACCUAUCUAUGAUUUAUUUUUAAUAUUUGCUACAUUACCUGGGCUGAGGACAGGGCCUACCCCAAAUACAUUAACUUCAGCCAUUGUUAAUUAUGUGCGUGCCCAUUUCCAGUGUUUUAAGAUAGAUGAUCUGGUUAAUACUGUCUAUUAAUAAUCUGGACAUAUAGGAAAUUGACUGUAGUACUACAUUUAAACUGUUUUUUAGUAUUUAAAUCUGGAUUUCUACAAAGAGGAGAUGAGAAAAUCAAAGUUAGCUGUGCUUGUGCUAUAAAGAAAUUUACACUGGCAUAACACACAGUUUAACUCCAUUUAAAACACCAUUAUUUUGCAUAACUUAUUCUCACUUCUCCUACACACUUCCAUUUGGAGCAGUCCAUAAUGUAGGGGUUUUAUUCUGCAAACCUGUAUAAAAGUUAGUGUAGGGUCACUGGAUGCAACAUAACGAGGCCAAGCUAAAGUCCUAUUUAGCAAUGUUAUAAACAGGAGAGUGCGUAGAACGACCACCCACAAGCAGUGUUUCUCUUUUAAAAUGCCAGUUCCACCGGCAGAGCACUUAUCCACCUUCCAGCUUAACUCAGAGAACGUGAACAACAUUUGACCAGUGGAACUCCCACAACUAAACACACACACAAUUCCUGCAAAAAUAAUACAAGCUCCCCUAAACUAAUACAGGACCUUCCUGAAUAGCCCCAACUAAAGGAAAAUUGUUAGAGAUUAAAAAAAAGAGAUUUUUUUCAUAUUGAAAGACCUGGAAUGAUUGUGUAACACACUGUAAACACACACGCAAACAGAGGAAAAUAGUAGCUUUAUUUAUUAAGUUGUUGUCUGGCGUAUAAUUAGUACAUUCAUAAUACUUUUGUUAUUUGUUACUAAUAAAGAAAUGUUAAAGUGGAUGCA